rnacentral:lncRNA from 1 species
AAACAACACACAUAAAAUUUAUUGGAAUUAAAUCUGAAAACAACAAAGGCAUGGAGUACAGGUCCGAAACUCCAAACAUGCAGUGCCAACUUUAAUGGAUUCAUUUCAGUAGAGGUACAAAUAAAAAGGAGUUGUGCACGAUGCCCACCGAGAAGCAGGUUGCUUAAUCUGAGAGACAUGUAGACUAAUCUGGACCAAAGGUUUGUGAUCCAAAGGCACAAGUUUCGGUUUCCAUGUUUCAAUGAAACUUAGUUUUCAUUGGACACUUUCUCUUAUUGAGCAGACAUGGAGAUAUCAACCUAUCCGGUACAAUACCCCCUCUUCACGAUUUUCUGGUCGAACUUUUUGGUGCCCUCUUCAAUGAAAGAAGUACGAUGUAAAAUAGUAACCAUGAAAUUCAAUUAGAUAGUUAAAAAAUACAUAAUGUAAAAGUGAACUUUGUAUAAUGUUAACCAUGAAAUUCAACGAUUGUUUAAUCAUAACAGUUUUGAAGCUUGAUUGUUUAGUUAUUUCAACUGUUAAAUGUGUCGAUUAGUUCAUUCAUUUCCCCUGUCACCUAUUACUUUUGCCUGAACGACUUAAUUAAAUUAAACAUCUCGUCCCAAUAAUUCUUUUGCUACAUCAUCUUAAGAAACUUUGCUCUACAAUAUAGCAACUUUAUUUCCCGCAAAAGAAAUAUAUAGCAACUUUAUGGAAGAUGCAUACAAUAUACUCCCUCCAUCCCAAAAUAAGUGUCUCAAGCUUACUACAACUUUGUACUAAAGUUUGUACAAACUUGACAUACUUAUUUUGAGAUGGAGGGAGUAGCAACAUAAAAAAGUCCUACAUGAAUUUGAACUAAUAUUCUAAUAAAUCCAGAGCCCAAUAGAGCCCCUUUUUUAUGUUGCCUUCGUACUAAGCAUCUCAAAGCUGGGAACCACAUUUCUAUAUUGGACGAGGACGGUUCAGGGAAGACAUACACAUGGUGGUGUCACUAGUGUGUUGAUCGCGUCUGUUAAAACUAACUAUAGAUCCCUACAGAGUUCUUUUGUUUUCUUUUAGCCCAUGGGUGUCAUGUAUCGAAUUCAAAUCUCUGAUGAUUUAAGGGGAGAAAAUCCCUUCAUUACAAGACAAAAAUACUACUCCCUCCGUCCAGAAUUACUUGUCAUCAAAAUGAAUGAAAAUGAUUGUCCUCUACGAUUCAUCUAAUUUUUCACCAUAUUGAUGAUUGGUUAGUCUCUAUGGAAGGAACAGGUGAUGAAGAUCUUCGGCGAGGAUCUAGAAAACCCGCGGUGGGCACAAUCGAGGUGCUUGAUCAAACAAAAUGAUGCUACCAGAUGAUUCAGGGAAGACACAUGGUGGUGCGCCGCUUCUAUUUGCUUCGGUUGAGAAGUCAUAUAUUGAUUUUAUUAAAGACUAACAAAGGUGUAUCAUACUGUCAAUUUUUCCUUAUUGAAUGUCCGCACUAUCUCAUUGGUUAUAAGAAAUGGUGACAUGGGUGCACACGAGAGCGAGUUCACAAACUAUGGCGACUAGUAGUCAAUGCAUGUGUUCCUUCUUGAAAAAACUCCAAAUGUACAUGGUUAUUGGCACUCAAUAAUACCCUCUCUUGGGUGAAUAUCACUGGCGCGAGGAUCCUAAAUUCGGUGGGGUUUGGUUUAAUUCAGGGUUGUUGUGGCUUGCUAACUGGGUUGUGGGUCUGACUAGUUUUUGUCCAUGUAACAUCCCUAAUUUUCAAUUUGGAAUGUUAUACAUUAGAUCAUCAUUGCAUAUCAUAUUUUAUUGCAUUUUGGCUUGAUCCUAGAAAUUCUACGCAACUCAAGGAUCCACGGAGAGAGUUGGGGAUUUCAUUAUUUUCAUAUUUGAGUUUUCUCAAAUUUUGAAAAUAGGAUCAUUUGAUUUUAAUUAUUUUAUCUUCAACUAUUUCAAUUAUAAAAAUACGAGAGAGGGAAGAAAAUGACUUUCCAAAAAUUAAGAAAUAUUAAGGAUUUAAUAUUAAAAUCAAAUAAGAUUUUAUUUCGGAGUUUUGUCGCUAUUUUAUUUCAAUUAGGAAAAAUGCGCGUUUUUCAAAAUUGCAUUUGGGGCCCAAAUAAAUGUUCAUCUUGUCCGGCUUAUUUUUAGAUGACGGGGAAAAUUUAUUUCGGGAUUUUUGCAGUCAGUUUAGUAUUCCUUUUAUUUGUUUUUCUGCGCGACAUUAUUUUAAAAAAACGAACCGACCUACCGAGCCGUGUCCGUCCCGAACUCCUGGCCCGGCCGGCCCUUAUAAGCCGGGAGGCCGCCCCGCCAGCCCAGCCGCCCGCCCCCGAAACCCUAGCCCCGAUCCGCCGCCGCCGUCGCCGCUGCCCAUCGCCCGCGCCGCCGCCGUCGCCGCUGCCCAUCGCCCGCGCCGCCGCCGUCGACCCCGCCGCCGUCCGCCUUGCUGCCGACCGCCGCCGCCCUAUCCGGAGCCCGCCACCGUCGGAGGUAGCCGCCGCCGCCUCGGUUUUCACGAGAAAACCGAUCAUUUUUUUUCGAAACCCUAGAUCCUUUUUUUUAGAUCCGGUUCGGUUUAUUUUUUGGUUUAGUUUAUUUUACGGACGUUCGUCCGUACAUUCGUUCUGACGACCAGUUUUCGUUGUUUAGCCACAGACAUCGAACGUUCGUUCGUUAGCCUUUUUGUCCGUUUUUCUUUUUCUCGGAUUUUCCGCAAUUAUUUCCGAUCGCGAUUUCUGAUCCAAUUUUCGUUCUAUUAUAACUUUUCGCUCGUUUAUCGAAAUCAGGCGAUUCAAGCGCCUAGAGUUUUGUCUCAAAACCCUCUUUCCAUUGAACCUACUCAAACAAGUUUUUGGUACUGUAAAAUUUGACUUAGGUCCAGAUUAGUAAAUGAAGCUUGUUUCUUUCGUCGUUCGAGUUUCGUUGCUUCGUUUGAUUUGAUUCUUUUUGCAAACCGGAGUUCUUAAGUUGAACUUUAUGGUUAGAUCUCUUAUUUGAGUUUUACCUGUCCAUUAGAUGAGUUCUUAUUGUAUGCUUGUUUGUUUGCAUUAGAGUACCCGGAGUGCGCCGCUUGCUACUACGAGUCUCUAGGUUUCACGGAUCAUCAGCAAGGCAAGUAACACUUUGAUCAGACCUCUUUACUACCCAGUUUUAUUACAUUAGAUCAAUCUUCAAACAAUUGCAUGGUUAGGAUCUUAUUAAUAUGUGGGUUUUGGGAAGUAGAUGAGGUAGAACCUAUUACUUGUUUUAUUAUCAAACCUUUGGGAGUUACUUCUGCAUUUGCUUAUAUUGCUAUGCUAUGCUAGUAGACGUGGAUUGGAUGAGUGUAUCCAUGACAGAUGUGAGAUUGUUAAUUAAUGGUUUACUUAAGGUGGCAACUUAAAUUCACAUCUGGGAGAAUUGAGGCACCUGGGGAACCCAGUGUUGCCUAUAUUUUUGGAAAUCCCGGGGUACCGUGUGAUUCUCCUAUGGACCGCUACCCAGGCUCAAAGGGAUCAUGAGAUUAUUCAUGCUAGAAACUCUCGUGUGCAGCCGCAAGCUACUAUGGGCUCUAGCAUAGUUGAUUAAGUUGUGUGACCUCUUUCAGUGGUAGACUAGCAGAUGUAGGGGAUGUAGGUUGGUACUGUCUACCCAUAGUAAAGAGUUAAUGCUUCUGAAAGACUGUGUCUCGGUCAUCCGUUUCUCAAACACCAUGUAGUGCGACAAAUCAAACGGAGGAGAUCGAGUCUUACGGGGAAAAGUGUGCAAACCUCUGCAGAGUGUAUAAACUAAUCAUGGUUAGCCGUGUCCCCGGCUAUGGAUGUUUUGAGUAUCUAGUACCUGGAUUAUCAUGUGAAUCUCAUCAUGUUACUUAAUUUAAUUUUGUUGGGUUAAUGAUGAUGCUUAAUUGGAAUUGAGUUGGAGGAACCUUCUCAAUGUUUAACAACCACCAUGAUAGUUAAAUAAAAUGUAUUUCUUUGUUGUAGGGAAAAAUUGGCUUUAUGCAAAACUGUAACCGUAGAGCUUUCCACCAGCCAUUUAUGCAUGUAGUGAUAUCAUUAUUCUGUUCAUUACUCUCUAUGUGUUACAUUGCCAGCAUAUUCCAUGUGCUAACCCGGGCUACGACGUUCAUGUUGCAGACUUUUCAGACGACGAGUAAGGUGCCUUAGGUCGUGAUCUUAUACUCAGUGAUGCUGUUGGAGUUGAUGGACUCGCUUAUCUUCCAAGCCUUCCGUUGUUAUCGUUAUUAGAUGGCCUUAAGCCAUAUUUAUUGUAAUGAGUUCUGUUUUGAGACAUUCGAUGUAAUAAGUGUGUGAUUGCUACUCUGUUAUAAAUCCUUCAAGUACUGUGCGUGUCAGCAUUACCGAUCUAGGGAUGACACUGAUGCACAGAGAUCAGACUGUUUGAGGUCUGGUUGCUACAGUCCAUGCGCUGCUAUGGAUGUUGUGUUUACAUGGCAAUGACACUAUGGUUUGUCAUUUUGUCUAAGUCAAAAAAUCUGUGCCAUUUAUAAAAAUAUUCCUUUUUCUAAAUUCUCGCCUCCACAUCUAUUUAUAAACCGCGAUGACAUGGGUGCACACGUUAAUGAGUUCACAAACGGGCUACCAAUAGUCAAUACCCAUGUUUCGUUUGGGAAGAGAAAAGGAAAAUUGCUAGCGUGCGCUCCCUAAGCCGGCAGUGAUGAGUUUGGGUUUGGUCCCCUAUGCUAUUGCUCAGUGGCACAUGAGUCUGCUCGGUUUCGUAUAUAUUAUCCUUUUUCAAACAUCCACUCUCUCGUAGGUAGUAACUGGUGAGAGGGUAUUGGAGCACACAGUGGCUAGUUUGCAAACACUGGCUACCGCUCGUCAAUGCUCCUUAUUGAACACAAAGCAAAGCAUGCAUGUGGCACCAUGUUGCACAUCUGAGUGAGUGUUGACACCAGAUUUUGGCAUGGUCAAAAACAUAAUUAAGAAGGCCUCAAAUAGAGAAGUGUUCAAAGUGAGAAAGCUCAGUAUCGUCAAAAGGAGAAACUUUGAUAUUUGGGCCAUAGCCAUCCAGUCUCAUUUCUAAGGCCGAAGUUGUGUUCGAAGUAUUCAGAUUUUGUAUUCAGAACACUAUUCAGCUGAUUACUCCCCAAAGAUGGCCUCAUAUGAGAAAAGUUUCUACACGGAUUGUCUUUGUCUCGUUGAAACAAUCAAUUUUGAUAUAAGUAACGUUUCAAUCUAAGUUCGUAUGCAAAAGUUACAACCAAUACAAGAUGCUGCUAUAGUAGAGGGCCGGACACUCCGGGGACAACCAUCCGGGUUUUGAAUUUCUCUGAUAUAGACUUCAGAAAACAGCCGAAAUCUCCCUCAAGAUGGCCUCUGAUCAAAAAACGUUCAGCAUGAAAGUUGUUCAUCUCGUCGAAACCCUCAAGAUUGCUUUUGGGAUCAUUUCCAUCCGUGGUUGUUUACUACCUCAAACAUGGCCCACAAGGUCCAGCCAGUUUAAACCGAACAGUUUUGGAAAGUUCGGACAAAACCAAUCCGAAUUUGACUAGGGUUUUGGACGUGAAUCCAAGACUUUUCCUUGCACGGGAAGUCCAGCCGCCUCUUAUAUACUUAAGGGGUGACGGCCGAUUGAACAACACACAAUCGAAAAAUCAUCUACAAACUUUUUAUCCUUUAUCUUUUCUCCUUAACCCUAGUUCUUCUUCUCCUCGUUCUUCAUCUGUUCUUCUUGUUGCAGGGCGGCGAACCUCGAGGACCUAGGGGCGAUCAGGUCGACCUAGGGAAACCCAUAGCCUCCGCGCGCCCAAACGGGGUCCCUCCCGGGCGUGUGGGGUUUUGGGUCCUCAAAAGCACCCGCCGGAUUGCCUGCGUACCGCGCUUUCGGCCGAGUCUCCUUCGACGUGAGCUGUGGUGCAUCACCCUCGGCGUUGGAGGUACACGGUGACGUGUUCGUGUGCGAACACGCUUUUUGGCGACUCCGCUGGGGACGAAGCUUUGAACGGUCUCCGGCCUGUUCUUGCUACGAAGAGAUCGUCAUCUAGGGUUUGCAAUCUACAAAGGUAAUAUGAACACCCAAUUCCCAUUUGUAGAUGCAAAUAAUUCAUAUGUUGUUGCUAGAUCACCUAAUGAGCAUAAUGUAUCGGCUAUCCCUAGUUUUAUCAAUCAUGCAUCUAAUUAUGCGCAAGGGUCGAUGCAAAUAAUCUUCAUGCUUCAAAUUCUUAUAAUUUUAGCAACGUACAACAUAUGUAUCCUAACUCUCAUGCAUUGGCAACCCCACAAAUCCAUAUGCCGAUGAACAACAUGAUGAGUUUGGUUAAUCAAUUUGAAACACCUCAUGUUAAACUUCCCAGUAGCACACAAGAAAGUGUUUCACCCUUUUAUUCAUCGGCAACUAAUUUGCAAUAUGUAAAUCCAACAUUGCCGAUGAAUGGGAUAAUUGGCCAUGCUACUACUAGAUAUUUGGCCAGUUACUCUCAACCGUCAUAUGCUACACCUCAUGUUAGUAAUUUUUCAGCAUCGUAUACAAUUGUAGAUGCUCAUAAUUCGGCUCCGCACCUUCAUGUUCAUAGCCGAAUAAGUGAAAAAAAUUCAGGAGUUCACAUGCCAUCAUCUAAUAUUGUAGCAUAUGAUGCAUCCUCUACGCAAUUGCAUAAUUUCGGCAAAACCUCAUUAUCGAAAGAAUCUGAAAGUAUUGCGGAGCAAUCCCUUCCAGAAGGGAUUGUGACUGCAUUAAAAAAAGAGCUUGGCACAAAACAAGAGAAUUAAUGCUCUUUGCCUUAAACAAUAUGAAAAGGGGUUGUUUCCUGAUUAUUCUGCAAUAAAGGCUAGAGUUUUGCAGGAAGAUGACACUUCAUCAAUUGGUAGUAUUGGUGAGUGAGCCUAUGGUUAUACAGAAGUGCAUACACCUCUACCUAGUACCGCAGCAUAUUAUACACCCCCUACACAAUUACAAAAUUUCAGUAACACUAACACUUCAUUGCCGAAAGAUCCUAAAAGCAUUGGGGGGCAAACUAAUCUAGAGCGGGCUGAAAUUGAGAGGGGAGUUAAAGCUUUGCGUGAUAGGGUGCAAGUACUUCUCCAAGAGAGAGUUGAUAGGGAAUUAGCUCAAAGAAAAGAAGCUUUGCCAAUUGAUAUAACCGGUGAAAAGAAUGAUGAUUCAGAAACUAAAAGUGCUUCGGUUGAAAAAGCCGAAUCAAGUAGUAUAUAUUCCAAAUCCAUCACAUCCAAAGAGGCAAACAUUGUUGAGAAAGGGCAUGGAAAGUAUAGCAAGACAGCCAUACUUGAUUUUUCUGAAGUUAAUGGAACCUACUUCCUGCCCUAUGAGUUUCGUGCCAUAGAAAUUGACGAGCUUCAAGAACAAGAACAAGUAGCCGAAGAAGGUUUGGUGGACAAAUAUCUUCAAACUAAUGAUGCAUGAAAUCAAGAAAAAGAUGAUGACAAGGCGUUGGGGAGCUAUCCAAAGGCGGAGCAAGAUAUUCUUCAAAUCACACCACCAUCACGCUCUCCUAACAUAUUUGAAGGGGUAUGUCUAGCAAUUAAUUUACCUGUUUCCAGAUUUGGUCAUGACUUAGUUGUUGAUGCAUAUAUUAGAAAAAAAUUCAUAAGAAAUAUUGAGAGACCAAUGAAGAAGGGUAAUUUAUUGUUAGCAAUUAGAUUGUCACAAAGGAUAUCGGUCAACACAUUACACCAUUCAAAAAGACCGAUAGCGAAAAAUUAUUGCAGCCAAGGCUUUCCCCAUUGCUUUGGCUAAAGUUCAUAUCUAAUUGGGUAGCUUUGCUUAUUUCUUACUUGGCUUACACCUGGUCUCAAUUGAGACAUGUAUAUUCUAACUAUUUUCGUUUCAGAAAUUUAAAGCCAAGGUUAAAAUCUUCUGAGCAAACCGAUGCAAGUAUAGUUGCUUAUCCAAAGACAUCGGAUAUAGAGUGCAAAACACAUUGCAUAGCCGAAUGGGGACAUUCCAAAUCUGAACCAUUCGUUUGCUUACCUCCAAAGUCGUCCUCACAGCAAGACCGGCUAAACAAUAAGAAUUAUACCUUCAAUUCAAGCAUGUGUGAUCAAAUAUUUGAUUUGUUGCUGAAAAAUAAUUACAUUAGAAUUCUUGAUCACCAUGUUAAGCCAUCAAUUCAAGGACGAAUGUAUUGUAAGUUGCAUGAUUCGUCCAAGCAUAAUUUAGAGGAUUGCAACAUGUUUCGUCAAAUAGUUAAAUCGGCCAUUGAAAAAGGACGAUUGAAGAUUAUUGAAUGAUACGUCCAUUUUGCAUCAUGCUUUUAUAUCAAUAUUCAUUGCAUUAUGGGUUGUUAUUACACAUUAUAUCUCAAUACUUAUGGCUAUUCUCUCUUAUUUUACAAGGUUUGCCAUGAAGAGGGGGAAUGCCGGCAGCUAGAAUUCUGGCUGGAAAAGGAGCAAACAUUGGAAACCUAUUCUGCACAACUCCAAAAGUCCUGAAACUCCACGGAACAACUUUUUGGAUUUAAUAAGAAUUUAUGAGCGAAAGAAAUAGGCCAGGGGGCCCACACCUUGUCCAGGAGACAGGGAGCGCGCCCCCCUGUAGGGCGCGGCCCCCUAUCUCCUGGGCCCCCUGGUGGGCCUCCGGCGUCCAUCUUCUGCUAUAUCAUCACUCUUACCCUAAAAAAAUGGUGGGCAAGCUUAUGGGACAAAACUCCGCCGCCACGAGGCGGAACCUUGGCGGAAUCAAUCUAGGGCUCUCGCGGAGCUGUUCUGUCGGGGACACUUCCCUCCGGGAGGGGGGAAUCAUCACCAACGUCAUCACCAACGAUCCUCUCAUCGGGAGGGGGUCAAUCUCCAUAAACAUCUUCACCAGCACCAUCUCCUCUCAAAACCCUAGUUCAUCCCUUGUAUCCAAUCUUGUAUCAAAACCACAAAUUGGUACCUGUGGGUUGCUAGUAGUGUUGAUUACUCCUUGUAGUUGAUGCUAAUUGGUUUACUUGGUGGAAGAUCAUAUGUUAAGAUCCUUUAUGCAUAUUAUUACUCCUCUGAUUAUGAACAUGAAUAUGCUUUGUGAGUAGUUAUGUUUGUUCCUGAGGACAUGGGUGAAGUCUUGCUAUUAGUAGUCAUGUGAAUUUGGUAUUCGUUCGAUAUUUUGAUGAGAUGUAUGUUGUAUUUCCUCUAGUGGUGUUAUGUGAACGUCGACUACAUGACACUUCACCAUUAUUUGGGCCUAGAGGAAGGCAUAGGGAAGUAAUAAGUAGAUGAUGGGUUGCUAGAGUGACAGAAGCUUAAACCCUAGUAUAUGCAUUGCUUCGUUAGGGGUUGAUAUGGACCCAUAUGUUUAAUGUUGUGGUUAGGUUUACCUUAAUACUCCUUCUUGUAGUUGUGGAUGCUUGCAAUAGGGGUUAAUCAUAAGUGGGAUGCUUGUCCAAGUUAUGGCAGUACCCAAGUGCCGGUCCACCCACAUAUCAAAUUAUCAAAGUACCGAACGUGAAUCUUAUGAACGUGAUGAAAACUAGCUUGACGAUAAUUCCCAAUGUGUCCUCGUGAGCUCCUUCUUCAUUAUUAGAAUUUGUCCAGGCUUAUCCUUUUCUACAUAAAGGAUUGGGCCACCUUGCUGCACUUUAUUUACUUUAUUUACUUUUUGCUCGUAACUACUUAUUUUAUCACAAAACUAUCUAUCACCUACUAUUUCAAUGCUUGCAGAGAAAACCUUACUGAAAACCGCUUAUCAUUUCCUUCUGCUCCUCGUUGCGUUCGACACUCUUACUUAUCGAAAGGACUAUGAUAGAUCCCCUACACUUGUGGGUCAUCAUUGAAACACCAAGAGAUGACCAGUCUAUUCCGAUUGGCCCUGAUGGCAAAAAGUUUUUGCAUCGGCUGCUUCAAGCCGAUCCAUUUAAAGAGAAUGUAAAAGCUGCAGGUGAUGGGAUCAAGCUUCCAAGUAAAGAAGUUGUUGAAGAGCAUAGCGAACAUAAUCUUGAGGGCGAGAAUUCCAUCGAAGCUACAAUGGAGACGCCAAGGACUGGGGGCAGCAAGCAAAUCCAAUGAUCGAUGAAAGCAAACCAAAAGAAAACAAAGGCCGAAAUAAGAGCAAGUGUAAGAGAUCAAAGAUCACCUUCGCUGAACUAUUGGAUAAAUAUCAAAAGAAGAGUGAAGAGAAGAAUGUUUAUCGGCCAAAUCAUGCAAAGAAAUCAAGAUCAUCCUAAGGCGCAAAUAUGAGGAUCGGUAUUGGAAAAAUGAGAAUUUUCAUGCAAUAUAUUCAUAUCCUUAUUUUGGGCCUUUGCCAAUGUCGUGGAUGCCUCCCUAUGCUCAUAUAGAUCCAUAUUUAUCAUGGGACAGGUAUGAUACAAGGGCACAUUCUCCAUCUUAUUUUAGACCAUCUCACAAAUACUAUGCAGCUCCAAGAAGAUCAACAUUUGAACAAUCACGCGUCAAAGACCGUUUCAAUCAUAAGGAAUCGGUCCAGAGCUCAAGGAAGAAGAAAGAGGUGGUAAAGCAAGUUUACCGCGUGAAAAGAGAUGGUCGUAAGUGUGCUACUUCAAAUUUGAUCUCAAAUAACAAAGAGCCAAUUAAAGUGUUGACAUUGGCUACAAAAGGCAAAGAAGUGAAUCAAUCAAUUGAUAAAAAUCAUAGUGCCAAAUCUGAAGAAAAGAAGUUGAGGGUGCACAAGGCCCAAAAAGAGUUGCCAUUGGUUGAAACAAAAUCACAGUCGAGGUACUCACUCGGCUUAUCGUAUUGGCAAAAGAAAGAGUUACAAAAGCUUAGUGCACAAGAACUUGAAGAAAAGAACAUGGCAUGGGUUCCCAGGAGGAGCAGUCAAAAUAAAAAUGAUGUGCAACCUUCUAUUGCAACAAGUAUUACAAAAGUGAACAAAGAGAAGGAUGGAAGCCAAAAACAAUUAAGCCGAAGGUUUGCAUCCCCCAUCAAAAUCUUCGGUUAGCACAUCAUCCAUAUUCUUCAACCAUACCAUUGAUGCCUUUGCCAUGGAAUUCAUCAUCAGGUAUGAUAAAUUACCCUCCCUGGAUUUAUUUUGAUCCAUGGAAGCGACAUAAUUUUCUGCAUCAUGAGAGGGUAUUACCAAAUCUCUAUACAUUUUAUUAGCUACAUUUUUUCUUGCUAACCCAAAGGGCCGAAAUAUUUGAUUACUAUUUCAUUUGUUUAUUUCGGCUAUACAUGACUUCGUGAAUGAAUUCUACAUGGACCUUAUGUUAAUGGCCGAUAUUUGUCUAUCGCCCUAAGAAUAUGUCAAAGCAUGGCUGAUGUAGUAUCCUAACAUCGUCCUUAGUUCAAUUAGAGGCCAAAACGAGGUACAUGUUCCUUGAUAUUGCCCAUGUCUUUCUAAUACUAUGGAGACUAUUUUCGACAGUUAAAUUUGUGGCAACGACCAAGGUGUUCAUGUUGUUUAUUUAUCUCCAUAUGGAGCUAUUUUGUGAAACCUCAUGCCACUUAAAAUAUAUUUUUCACAAUGAUCAAAGCCGAAUAUGCACUGUCAUUCGGAUUGGAGCUUUGCCUUGCUAUAAGUGCUAUACAUAUUGAGGCUUCCGGUGAUUCAUUAUUAGUAGUGCAACAAAUAUCCAAGGGUUAUCAAUGUUUUGACGAAUCACUUAUAGUUUAUUUUUUGGUAUGUCUAGAUGCAAGAUUUACCUUGGGUUGCUUUAAAAUUGUUCAUAUAUCUAGACAUGACAAUUCGAAAGAGUUGGCACAGCAAGCAUCCGGCUACUAUGUUAACCAUGGUGUGUUGCAUUUCUAUAAAUAGCCGAUGCUAGGUCUUGUCAACAUAGGUAAGGCCGAAUCAAAGCCCGCCGCUUUGGCCACUAAUGAAACUUUUAUGCAGACGAAGUAAGGAUUGGAGGAAGUUCAUUCUUAAUUAUCUGUGAAAUCCUAGCGAAAAGGUGAACAAUAUGGUUCGGAGGAUGGUUUUGAUCUAUGAAAUCUUAUCACCGGAUUGUUAUAGAAGCUGAGAAGUUUUCACCCAAGUUUGCAUCAAGAGGUUCAAACAAGCAGUGGCCGAUAUAUAAUUAUCGUCCUAAGAACAUGCAAAAUGGCCGAUGAAGUGUUGACAUCGUCCUUAGAACAAGCUAUGCGGAAGUUAUUUUUCGGCACACAAGCUUUGCCGAAAAACAGGGGGGCAUGUGUUGACACCAGAUUUUGGCAUGGUCAAAAACAUAAUUAAGAAGGACUCAAAUAGAGAAGUGUUCAAAGUGAGAAAGCUCCGUAUCAUCAAAAGGAGAAACUUUCAUAUUUGGGCCAUAGCCAUCCGGUCUCAUUUCUAAGGUCGAAGUUAUGUUCGAAAUAUUCAGAUUUUGUAUUCAGAACACUAUUCGGCUGAUUACGCCCCAAAGAUGGCCUCAUAUGAGAAAAGUUUCUACACAGAUUUUCUUUGUCUCGUUCAAACGAUCGGUUUUGAUAUAAGAAACGUUUCAAUCGAAGUUCGUAUGCAGAAGUUACAACCAAUACAAGAUGCUGCUAUAGUAGAGGGCCGGACACUCCGGGGACAACCGUCCGGGUUUUGAAUUUCUCUGCUGCAGACUUCGGAAAGCAGCUGAAAACUCCCUCAAGAUGGCCUCUUCUCAAAAAACGUUCAACAUGAAAGUUGUUUGUCUCGUCGAAACCCUCAAGAUUUCUUUUGGGCUCGUUUCCAUCCGUGGUCGUUUACUACCUCAAACGUGGCCCGCAAGGUCCAGACGGUUUAAACCGAACAGUUUUGGAAAGUUCGGACAAAACCAAUCCGAAUUUGACUAGGAUUUUGGAUGUGAAUCCAAGCCUUUUCUUUGCACGGGAAGUCCAGCCGCCUCUUAUAUACUUAAGGGGUGACGGCCAUUGAACAACAGACAAUCGAACAAAUCAUCUAUCACUUUUUAUCUUUUAUCUUUUCUCCUUAACCCUAGUUCUUCUCCUCGUUCUUCGUAUGUUCUUCUUGUUGCAAGGCGGCGAACCUUGAGUCCCUAGGGGCGAUCAGGUCGACCUAGGGCAACCCAUAGCCACCGCGCGCCCAGACGGGGUCCCUCCCGGGCGUGUGGGGUUUCGGGUCCUCAAAAGCACCCGCCGGAUUGCCUGCGGACCGCGCUUCCGGCUGGGUCUCCUUCAACGUGAGUUGCGGUGCAUCACCCUCGGCGUUGGAGGUACACGGUGACGUGUUCGUGUGCGAACAGUGAGCAUAGGCUUACUGACUUUUGAUAACAACGGAUAACCAAAAAAUUAUGAUCAACGUAAGGGGCUAAUGAUCAACAGUUUUAUAUGUUUGGACCAAAACAACACGCAAAAGGAGAUUUUAUUUUCACUUUAACUAAAUUGGAGUUAAAUCUGAAAACGGCACACAUAAAAUUUACUGUAAUUAAAUCUGAAAACAGCAAAGGCAUGGAGUACAGGUCCGGAACUCCAAACAUGCAGUGCCAAUUUUAAUGGAUUCAUUUCAGUAGAGGUACAAAUAAAAAGUAGUUGUGCACAAUGCCCACCGAGAAGCGGGUUGCAUAAUCUGAGAAAGAUGUAGACUAAUCUGGACCAAAGGUUUGUGAUCCAAAGGCACAAGUUUCGGU